UACGUAGGGUGCAAGCGUUGUCCGGAAUUAUUGGGCGUAAAGAGCUCGUAGGCGGUUAGUCGCGUCUGCUGUGAAAACUCGGGGCUUAACUCCGGGCCUGCAGUGGGUACGGGCUGACUAGAGUGCGGUAGGGGAGACUGGAAUUCCUGGUGUAGCGGUGAAAUGCGCAGAUAUCAGGAGGAACACCGGUGGCGAAGGCGGGUCUCUGGGCCGGAACUGACACUGAGGGACGAAAGCUAGGGGAGCGAAUGGG
rnacentral:rRNA from 1 species